CCUACGGGUGGCAGCAGUGAGGAAUAUUGGUCAAUGGACGAGAGUCUGAACCAGCCAAGUAGCGUGAAGGAUGACUGCCCUCUGGGUUGUAAACUUCUUUUACAUGGGAAUAAAAUGCUCCACGUGUGGGAUUUUGUAUGUACCAUUUGAAUCAGGAUCGGCUAACUACGUGCCAGCAGCCGCGGUAAUACGGAGGAUCCGAGCGUUAUCCGGAUUUAUUGGGUUUAAAGGGGGGGUAGUUGGAUUGUUAAGUCAGUUGUGAAAGUUUGCGGCUCAACCGCAAAAUUGCAGUUGAAACUGGGAGUCUGGAGUACAGUAGAGGUGGGCGGAAUUCGUGGUGUAGCGGUGAAAUGCGUAGAUAUCACGAAGAACGCCGAUUGCGAAGGCAGCUCGCUGGACUGCAACUGACACUGAGGCUCGAAAGUGUGGGGAUCAAACAGGAUUAGAUACCCGUGUAGUC
rnacentral:rRNA from 1 species